rnacentral:rRNA from 1 species
UACGUAGGGGGCAAGCGUUGUCCGGAUUUAUUGGGCGUAAAGAGCGUGUAGGCGGCUUUACAGGUCCGUUGUGAAAACUCGAGGCUCAACCUCGAGACGCCGGUGGAAACCGUAAGGCUAGAGUCCGGAAGAGGAGAGUGGAAUUCCUGGUGUAGCGGUGAAAUGCGCAGAUAUCAGGAGGAACACCAGUGGCGAAGGCGGCUACCUGGACCAGCACUGACACUGAGGCACGAAAGCGUGGGGAGCAAACAGG